rnacentral:rRNA from 1 species
CAGAAGGUCCGGGCGUUAUCCAGAUUUAUUGGGUUUAAAGGGAGCGUAGGCCGGAGAUUAAGCGUGUUGUGAAAUGUAGAACGCUCACGUCUGCACUGCAGCGCGAACUGGUUUCCUUGAGUACGGCACGAAAAGUGGGCGGAAUUCGUGGUGUAGCGGUGAAAUGCUUAGAUAUCACGAAGAACUCCGAUUGCGAAGGCAGCUCACUGGAGCGCAACUGACGCUGAAGCUCGAAAGUGCGGGUAUCGA